CAUGCAAGUCGAACGGAAAGUGCUCAGCUUGCUGGGUGACUCGAGUGGCGAACGGGUGAGUAACACGUGGGUGAUCUGCCCUGCACUUUGGGAUAAGCCUGGGAAACUGGGUCUAAUACCGAAUACACCCUGCUGGUCGCAUGGCCUGGUGGGGGAAAGCUUUUGCGGUGUGGGAUGGGCCCGCGGCCUAUCAGCUUGUUGGUGGGGUGAUGGCCUACCAAGGCGACGACGGGUAGCCGGCCUGAGAGGGUGUCCGGCCACACUGGGACUGAGAUACGGCCCAGACUCCUACGGGAGGCAGCAGUGGGGAAUAUUGCACAAUGGGCGCAAGCCUGAUGCAGCGACGCCGCGUGAGGGAUGACGGCCUUCGGGUUGUAAACCUCUUUCAAUAGGGACGAAGGGUGACUGACGGUACCUGUAGAAGAAGCACCGGCCAACUACGUGCCAGCAGCCGCGGUAAUACGUAGGGUGCGAGCGUUGUCCGGAAUUACUGGGCGUAAAGAGCUCGUAGGUGGUUUGUCGCGUUGUUCGUGAAAACUCACA
rnacentral:rRNA from 1 species